UACGAAGGGGGGCUAGCGUUGCUCGGAAUCACUGGGCGUAAAGCGCACGUAGGCGGAUUGUUAAGUCAGGGGUGAAAUCCUGGAGCUCAACUCCAGAACUGCCUUUGAUACUGGCGAUCUUGAGUCCGGGAGAGGUGAGUGGAACUGCGAGUGUAGAGGUGAAAUUCGUAGAUAUUCGCAAGAACACCAGUGGCGAAGGCGGCUCACUGGCCGGUACUGACGCUGAGGUGCGAAAGCGUGGGGAGCAAACAGG
rnacentral:rRNA from 1 species